GGAGUUGUGGUUCAGUGAUAGAGUGCUCACCUAGCAUGUGUGAGGCACUGGGUUUGAGCCUCAGCAACACAU
rnacentral:tRNA from 1 species